UACAGAGGGUGCGAGCGUUAAUCGGAAUUACUGGGCGUAAAGCGCGCGUAGGCGGCUUUGCAAGUCGGGUGUGAAAUCCCCAGGCUUAACCUGGGAACUGCAUUCGAGACUGCAUUGCUAGAGUAUGGGAGAGGGAAGUGGAAUUUCCGGUGUAGCGGUGAAAUGCGUAGAUAUCGGAAGGAACAUCAGUGGCGAAAGCGACUUCCUGGACCAAUACUGACGCUCAUGUGCGAAAGCGUGGGGAGCGAUCCGG
rnacentral:rRNA from 1 species